GCAGGUAUAGCUCAGUGGUAGAGUGCAUGCCUAGCAUGCACAAGGUCCUGGGUUCAGCCCCCAGUACCUCCA
rnacentral:tRNA from 1 species